GACCUUGUAGUACAAUGGAUAGUGCAUUGAACUUCUAAUCCAAAGGUUGUGGGUUCAAAUCCCACCGUGGAUGGCCU